rnacentral:rRNA from 1 species
GACGGAGGGUGCUAGCGUUGUUCGGAAUUACUGGGCGUAAAGGGCGCGUAGGCGGCUGCUCAAGUCGGGUGUGAAAGCCCGGGGCUCAACCCCGGAACGGCACCCGAGACUGGGCGGCUCGAGACCGGGAGAGGUGGGUGGAAUACCCAGUGUAGAGGUGAAAUUCGUAGAUAUUGGGUGGAACACCGGUGGCGAAAGCGGCUCACUGGCCCGGUUCUGACGCUGAGACGCGAAAGCGUGGGGAGCAAACAGG